CCUGCUGCCCCAACCCAUUAUUCAUUAUUCCUAACUGACAUAAUCUCUGUUUUCCUAGCAACAGGAUUUGGUGCUAAAAGUAGAUACACAAAGAAAAGAAAACUAAUGCCGAAUAAAAGAACAGAGAUGAACCCAAAAGAGAUGCAAGUAGAAGACUCUGCUGGAGGUGCCACAUUAAAAACUGGAGAUGAAAGCGUGCCAUUUUAAAACA
rnacentral:lncRNA from 1 species